rnacentral:lncRNA from 1 species
UGCCUCUGACCUCUCUAUGGCAAGCCAAAUGGCCAUGGGAAGACCCCAUGGAGUGUCAGAAUGAUGCCGUUGAGGGCAAGGAUUUUAGACCGGUCAUGGAUUCUGCCUGUGCACUGGGCUCUACCACUUUCUAGCUAUCUGGCUACUAGCAAGUUACCUUAACAAUCUAAGUUUCAACCUCCCCAUUCGUGAAAUGGAGAUGAUGUCUUAGUCAUAGAAGUAGCAAGUCUACUGCAUAUCAACAGUGUAGCACUGAGCCUGGCUCUUUAUAAGGAAACAGGCCGAGAGACGCAAGUCAAACAGCAAAGGAUGGUCUGCUGUCUGUCUGACUCCAAUGCCAAUGGUCUUUCCUCUAUAACCUAAAGCAAUAAAACCCCUGCAACAUCUA